rnacentral:rRNA from 1 species
UACUAGAGUAGCACUCGUAUAUCAAUAAGCGGAGGAAAAGAAACUAACAAGGAUUCCCCUAGUAACAGGCGAGUGAAGCGGGAAGAGCUCAAAUUUGAAAUCUUAAAGGGCUUUCCCUUUACGAAUUGUAGUUUAAAGAAGUGUUUUCUGUUGAGGUUUUGGUAAAAGUUCUUUGGAAUAGGACAUCAUAGAGGGUGAGAAUCCCGUAUUUGACCUUUACUUUCAACUUUGUGAUACACUUUCAAAGAGUCGGAUUGUUUGGGAAUGCAGUCCAAAAUGGGUGGUAAAUUUCAUCUAAAGCUAAAUAUUGGCGAGAGACCGAUAGCGAACAAGUACCGUGAGGGAAAGAUGAAAAGAACUUUGAAAAGAGAGGUUAAACAGUACGUGAAAUUGUCAAAAGGGAAGCGUUUGGACACCAGUGUUGUUUUUCUGAAAAUCAAUUAAAGAACUGUUUAUGCUGAGCUGUUUAGACUUUAUCAGCUAACUGUUUAGUUUUGAGCUUUUCUUUAAUGCACUUUUCAGUUAACAAGUCAACAUCAAUUUCUUUUGCUGUAAAAAAGCUUGAGGAAGGUGGCUUGAGAUUCGUCUUAAGUGUUUAUAGCCUCUUGCCUAUGCAGUCGGAGAGAUUGAGGUCUGCAGCGUAGAUCCUUCGGGGCUAAAUGCAUUUGUGCUAAGUUAUAGCAUUUUAUAGACAACUUGUUGACUAUGAUUUGUCUUGUAGCUUACUCGCUUAUGUUAUUUUACCUACGCUUAGGAUGUUGAUAUCGCGCUCUCACUG